UCGCUCCUACCGAUUCGAGUGGUUCGGCGAAUUCUCCGGAUUGUGACUCUUUUCAAGAGUUGCAAAAAGUUGUGUAAGCCAUAUCACUUAGAGGAAGGAU
rnacentral:rRNA from 1 species